rnacentral:rRNA from 1 species
CAGUCGCCGCGGUAAUACGAAGGGUGCAAGCGUUACUCGGAAUUACUGGGCGUAAAGCGUGCGUAGGUGGUGAUUUAAGUCCGUUGUGAAAGCCCUGGGCUCAACCUGGGAAUUGCAGUGGAUACUGGGUCACUAGAGUGUGGUAGAGGAUAGUGGAAUUUCCGGUGUAGCAGUGAAAUGCGUAGAGAUCGGAAGGAACAUCUGUGGCGAAGGCGACUAUCUGGGCCAACACUGACACUGAGGCACGAAAGCGUGUGGAGCAAACAGGAUUAGAUACCCCAGUAGUCCCUGUCUCUUAUAC